rnacentral:rRNA from 1 species
UUGUAACUAUGUUCUGUGCUCUCUCUCGGGAGGGCUGAACGAAGGUGGGCUGCUUCAUUGUAGUCUGCCGAUGUACUUUUAAACCCAUUAAACUAAUACUGAACUAUACUCCGAAAACGAAAGUCUUUGGUUUUAAUCAAUAACAACUUUCAGCAGUGGAUGUCUAGGCUCGCACAUCGAUGAAGAACGCUGCGAACUGCGAUACGUAAUGCGAAUUGCAGAAUUCAGUGAGUCAUCGAAAUUUUGAACGCACAUUGCACUUUCGGGUUAUGCCUGGAAGUAUGCCUGUAUCAGUGUCCGUACAUCAAACUUGCCUUUCUUUUUUUGUGUAGUCAAGAAGAGAGAUGGCAGACUGUGAGGUGUCUCGCUGACUCCCUCCUCGGAGGAGAAGACGCGAGUCCCUUUAAAUGUACGUUCGCUCUUUCUUGUGUUUAAGAUGAAGUGUGACUUUCGAACGCAGUGAUCUGUUUGGAUCGCUUUGCUCGAGUGGGCGACUUCGGUUAGGACAUUAAAGGAAGCAACCUCUAUUGGCGGUAUGUUAGGCUUCGGCCCGACUUUGCAGCUGACGGUGUGUUGUUUUCUGUUCUUUCCUUGAGGUGUACCUGUCUUGUGUGAGGCAAUGGUCUGGGCAAAUGGUUAUUGUGUAG